GGCUGCUGAUGACGAUAUCAAGUGUCUGACCAGAGACCUGGACCAAGCCAGUAUGGAGGCGGCGGUGUCUCUGUUAGCUGGCCUGCCUCUUCAGCCAGAGGAGGGAGACGGGGUGGAGCUGAUGGAGUUCAAGUCCCAGCUCUUCCUCAAGUACUUUACCCUGUUCAUGAACCUGCUGAAUGACUGCAGUGAGGUGGAGGAUGAUGGCUAGCCGGUGGUUGGGAGGAAGAGGGGCAUGUCUCGACGCCUGGCCUCCCCAGACACUGUACUGUCCUGGCCAUGUCCAACCUCAACGCCAACGUGGACAGCGGACUCAUGCACUCUAUCGGUUUGGGCUACCAUAAGGACCUGCAGACACGGGCCACCUUCAUGGAGGUUCUGACUAAGAUCCAGACAUGUUAGUGCAAGGCUGGAGCAAACGCCUGCAUGUCCUGUCGCUUUCCAGGAAAAGGGUUUGCCACCCCUGUGCAAGUAUGAGAAUUUGAGGCAGUAGUUGUUGAAACAUAGUGUGUCCUCCUGUGUCUUCUUCAGGACGAGCUGGCCGGUGUGUUGGUGACACUGUUUGACUCUCGCCACCUGCUGUAUCAGCUGCUGUGGAAUAUGUUCUCCAAGGAGGUAGAGCUGGCUGACUCCAUGCAGACUCUCUUCAGAGGCAACAGUCUGGCCAGUAAAAUCAUGACCUUCUGUUUCAAGGUUUACGGGGCGGCGUACCUACAGAAGCUCCUGGAGCCUCUACUUAACAGUGGCACAACAUCAGCUUUGAGGUGGACACAACCAGACUAGAACAUGCAGAGAACCUUGACGAGAACCAGUGGAACCUUCUUCAGAUUACAGACCGGUUCUUCCUGUCCAUUAAUCACGGUACUCCAUUCUGCUUGUUUGUUUUAUCUGUCGGGCCCGUUGCCUAGUCAAUGCCAUUUUACCUGCUGUUGUUAUGCUAGCUGAUUAGCUGUUGUCUCACCCACUGUUUUAGCUAGCUUUCCCAAUUCAACACCUGUGAUUACUGUAUGCCUCGCUGUAUGUCUCUCUCAAAUGUCAAUAUGCCUUGUAUACUGUUGCUC